rnacentral:sRNA from 1 species
GAAUUGAGUGCCAUAGCCUAGAUAAUGCACUUGUAAUUGGUAUGUGCAUCGCUGUAAAUUUAUCUGCCUAUUCCGAUGAUAACCUGCAUAUUCGCAUUGAUUUAAUAUCAAACUUGCCAUCGAAACUCUAUUGAAAGUUGUAUGUAAAUUUUGGUUUAAGUUCUCAGGAACCAAAC